rnacentral:rRNA from 1 species
UACGAAGGGGGCUAGCGUUGUUCGGAAUCACUGGGCGUAAAGGGCGCGUAGGCGGCUGUUCAAGUCGGGGGGUGAAAGCCUGUGGCUCAACCUGGGAACUGCGUCCGAUACUGGAUGGCUUGAAUCCGGGGAGAGGGAUGCAGAAUUCCAGGUGUAGCGGUGAAAUGCGUAGAUAUCUGGAGGAAUACCGGUGGCGAAGGCGGCAUCCUGGACCGGCAUUGACGCUGAGGAGCGAAAGCCAGGGGAGCAAAGCGGG